CAUUAACUUUCCUCCCCGAAGUCGCUGCAAUGACGAAAAUUCCUAAAAGGAGACAAAGAUGAACAAUUCAAACGAAGAAAUAACUUACAGGAAAAUAAAUUACAUAUAUUAUUUUGUCAGUAUAAAACUGCAACAUUGAACCGCUGAACUACUGGAUUCACUUUAACUGUUGAAGGUAAGAGCAUUACCAACAUGGUCCUCGUGCUCAAGGUUGCCGUGAUCUGCCUAGCAUUGAUUGCUGAAGGUUACGCCCGUCCUUGUGGGGAUAAUCCCCUGCAGAUAGUCGAUCAGUACUCACAACUAAGAGGUAUUAAUGCGGCGGAUUUAAUGGUGCACCUACUGGAAACAUCUCCAUUCGACUAUCAUCGGUUGAGGAAGGACUAUAGUCAAUAUGUGGACUGUACCCGAGCCAUACAGAGUGGUUAUUACAAAAGGUCCGCCAAAAAGUCUUUAACUGAGGAAGAAGACAAUAUUAGACCAGUUGAUGAAGUUUAAUCGACAGUCGCAUCUCCAUAUUUUGACUUAUCGGGCAUGUCUGCAAGAUAUGAUUUGGAUUAUUAUAGCAACAAACAUUGAAUUUGCACACAAACCGCAUUUUCACACAUGAACAUUUCAAUUUUAGUAUCGAGAGGAUCCAGAGGUUGUGUUGCCCAUUGAAUUCGCACACAAACCUCUGGAUCCCCUCGAUACUGAAAAUGAAAUUUUGAGAAUUCAAAUGAUGAAGGUCCUAUAUCAGAACUAUGACGGUAUACAAAUGGCUCUUGUUAAUUGUGUUGCAACAGGAAGCUAUGACUCAAAAGUAAAGGAAAUUGAUCUACAUUAAGUUUACACAAUUUUAGUACAUACAAAUAGUUAAAGGUGGACUAAUUUAAAAGAGCAAUUUUAUCGACGACCUCAUCUACACUUAACGGACUUUUAAGUCCAAAUAAUAUGACUUUCGAAUGUAUUUUUGUACAUCUGCUGCAAAAUAUAACGUGGUAUCUCUUUUUACGCCAUUACAUGCUACUGUUUGGUAUUGUAAUAUGAUUAAUUUAUUAAUAAAAAAUAAACAUUA